AUGACUGGGUUUCAGCGUAUCUCUUCGGAGGCUCAACUACGUCAGUUCGUCGAUCUUUGGCUGCGUAUUCGUGACAUGCAUCUGUCUAAUGAAGAGGAUUCUAUUACCUGGCGGUGGACUCCAGAUUCUGUGUACUCAGCAAAAUCGGCUUACCUGCAACAGUUCGUUGGCACGUACACAUCAAUCAACCUCAAGAAGAUUUGGUCUGCCAAAGUGGAGCCUAAAUGCAAAUUUUUCAUGUGGUUGUGGCUGAACGAGAGGACCCUCACAAACGACAACCUGCACAAGCGCGGACUGCCAAACAACGGCGCAUGUAACCUUUGCGACCAAGACAUCGAGUCCCCCGCCCACCUCCUUCUGCACUGCAUCUUCGCGCGCAAGGUUUGGUUCCUAAUCGCUGAUUGGAUUGCCCAGCCUGCGCUUAUAAUACCUGUGGCAUCUGGCGACUCUCCAUCGACAUGGUGGCAUGACACGGUUUGCGGCCUGCCUCCUCACCAUCUCGCUGUGGCAAUCUACGGUUGCUGGAACAUAUGGAAGGAACGGAACCGAAGGGUCUUCGAUAAUGCAACCUGCAACGCUGACCAGGUGUUCUGCCUUCUCAAGCAGGAGGUGGCUAUUGCUAAUGCCCGCAUCACCUGGAGCGUCUUUGGCGAAAACGAGCCAGAACCCGAGCCAGAUUAG
rnacentral:rRNA from 1 species